UUUUUUUUUUUUUUAGAUUAAGCCCAAAUUUAUGCAUUUUGGAAAUGGAUUUAUUAUUAAACUAGAAGUAUUUUGCUAAGUGCAUUUUAAACCCGAAGAGCUUUAAAAAUGGUAGGGGUGCAAGAUAAUCUUGACCAAGUUUACCUAUUGGUGGUAGUAGAAAAUCUAAGGGUAAAAACCCUUAUGUGGAUUUUGAGGUUUUUUUUUUUUCCCUCAUAUCUCCUAAAUAUGUUUUCUGUCUUAUACUCAGAAUAGGGGAAUGAAUCAAGCGAAACAAUUUUAAAGCUUUUGUGAUCUGCAUAUGAUUAUUUAGAUUUCAACUUUGCAAAAAGUACUGUAGAAACGCCUGGUAAGUCAUUUUUUUCUCUUAUAUUUCAAUUUCCUGAUUUUUCUGUAAUACUUAAAAGGAUUACAGGAGUUUCCCCUGUGGGACAGCCAAAAUGAAUCCAACGUGUACCCAUGAGGUUGCGGGAUCGAUUCCUGGCCUCGCUCAGUUGAUUAAGGAUCCAGCGUUGCCCUGAACUGUGAUGUAGGUCACAGACAUGGCUUGGAUCUGGCAUUGCUGUGGCUGUGGUAUGGGCCGGCAGGUGUACCUCCAAUUCGACCCCUAGCCUGGGAACCUCCGUGUGCUGCAGUUGCAGCCCUAAAAAGCAAUAAAUAAAUAAAUAAACAAACAAAUAAAUAAAUAAGAAUUACAGAUAAGUAAAGUCAAUCCUUAUCAAUUAAAUAACAACAGCAAAAAAUGAGGGCCAUACAAAUUUACAGUGCUAUUUUUGUUGUUUAUUUGUGCUAUGCAGAAUCUGAGAGGCGUGAGUAUGGAAUGAUUUCUUUCAUAUGUAUGUGGGAUGAGGACAGCACUUGGAAGUAUCGCUAGGAUAAAUGUUUGAGAAACAAAUGGUAUCCAGAUGCUUGCCAAAGGGGCAGGUAAGGGAUUAAAGAAAAAGGGGAUGACAGGAGGCGGAAUUUUGAAGCUGGGAGUUGGAAGAUUAUCCAGCAAGUUUAUAUGAAGCACCUCUUAUGCGUUAGGCACCAUACAGGACACAGGGGAAACACAUGAAAGUGACAUUGUUUUUGCCAUGAAGGACUUCAUUUUCCAACGAGAGAGAAAUAAUAACAAUGGAAGGUAAACAUAACUGAAAUGGAAGCACUUCUAAACUGCUCUUCAAGCCUAGGAAAUUGAGAAACCCUGUAGGAAAAUUCCCCCAACAGAUUGGCACUGGGGACAGCUUUGAAAUUUUCUAUGUUCAUUCUUAGGAAUGUCAGUACUAACCAGAGCUACUUCACUGUGGGUUCUCAGAACAGUUGUGGUCUUUGAAGAUGAGCAAAAAGCAGGGAAUUGUCAGUGGAGCUGGGAGAUGAGGAAUAUGGAGAAGGUAAAAUUCAGAGAAGGAAGAUGGGACAGUGAUAGUGGGGUGGGGGGUCUCCCCUCAUACUUUCCCUUGUCCCCUCUGCCUUCUUUCUGAAUGCUUUCUAGUUCACAGGGCCUCACACAACCUGAAGUUCAGCUUAAGAGAUACUAGAGAUGUUGGCUUCAGCAAGUAAGGGAUUGUAUUAAAAUUCUCUAGAGAAAUAGACUUAGUAGAGUGAAUAGAUACACAUGCAGAUAUAGAUUAUUAUGAGAAUUGCUUCACACGAUUAUGGGGGCUGAGAAAUCCCACAAUCUGCCACAUGCAAGCUCGAAAACCAGGAAAGAUGGUUGUGCAGUUCAGGCAGAGUCCAAAGCUAAGAACCUGGAGAAAGAUGUGAGAGGACAGGAGAAGAUGGAUAUCCUACCUCAGCCAAAGGGAGGCACCUGUUCCUGCAGCCAGAUCUUUCCUCAUUCUAUUGAUUCAAAUGCUAAUCUCUUCCUAAAACACUCUGGCAGACACACCCCAAACUAAUGUUUUACCAGACAUCUGGGCAUCACUUAGCCUGGUUGAGGAGGCACAUAAAACCAAUCCUCCUAGAGCCCUACAGUCUUGAUCUGAACAGAAGGAGAUGUACUGGUAGGUUUCAGAAUGAGGUAAGGAUUCCUUUUCCCUCCCCUCAUUUCUCAUUCCCACUCUGCCACGAGGUGGCACCAUAGGGGGAACAGUGGCGUCCAAGUCAUGAUAAGGACCAGCCAGAAAAGGGCAGAAGGUUGGUUUCAGUCAAGACAGAAGAGGUGGGUUAAGUCUGCAAGGGUUAAGGAAGUUAAGUUGUAGCCAUAGGACUACUUUGAAAAGGAGAGGAGUCUUUGACAGCAAGGGAAGGGAGGAAGAGAAGAAGUGGAGGAGGAAAGGAAAUGGGAAUUUCAGCAGCCAUCUUUAAAUAAAGCUGAGCAAGAGGUGACCACUGGUGUGAGAGAUAUUUCUAUAACAUGAUAUUUCUCUAUAGUAGAUACAAUCUUCAAUGGAGGCAGCGGUAUUGAGGAUAAAAAUAUAUGUGUUUCUUUUAACACCUAUUGGUACAUAAUUCAUAUUCCAUAUAAUUUACUCAUUUAAAGUGUAUAAUGCAGUGGUUUUGGCUUAUUCACAGAGUUGUGCAGCUCUCACUAGAAUUAAAUUUAGGUAUUAGCAUGGAUAUUUUCCUAUAUAUUCAUCUCAUUUCACCUUGUACACAUAGUCUGUCUUUCUGUGGCCUGUCACUCUCAUGGUAUCAUCUAGACAUGUAAGGAUUAAAGAAAAGAUUUGUUAUCCUUUCUUCUAUAUAACCCAGGAUUUUACAAACUACCAGAAAGCAAAGGGUCUUGUUGAGGUGAACUGUUUUGUUUAAAAGCAGACCAAGCAGAAAAGUUGAAAUGUAUUGUGAGAAGUAUAACACUGUCCAUUUCAAUUAAAUGACACAUAUUUGUUAUAAUUAUAGUGUCUGAACUAUCCUUAUGAUCUACAUGUAAAUAUAUAUAUAAUAUAUACAAACCUAUGUAUAGGUUUGUAUAUAUUAUAUAUAACUGAAUAUGGGUAUCCAAAGUUACAAUUACUAUAUUUUGACAUUGUAAGGAUGAGCAAUAAUACACAAAUGACUCAUUUUAAUUUAAUUUUUUUUCUGGUCUUGAUGUGUGACUUUUGGGAGUUUCUUCCAGAGCAGAAAUCACUUCAAACAGAGCUGUGGACUUGGCUAGGCUCCAUGGGGAUGAGAAGCACAAGAAGGAAGAAAAGACACAAUCAUAACAGAUAGAUAGGAACUGACAUGACUGCCCAUGAG
rnacentral:lncRNA from 1 species